rnacentral:rRNA from 1 species
AUACGGAGGGUGCAAGCGUUAUCCGGAAUCAUUGGGUUUAAAGGGUCCGUAGGCGGACUAUUAAGUCAGAGGUGAAAUCCCACAGCUCAACUGUGGAACUGCCUUUGAUACUGGUAGUCUUGAGUUAUAUGGAAGUAGAUAGAAUGUGUAGUGUGGCGGUGAAAUGCAUAGAUAUUACACAGAAUACCGAUUGCGAAGGCAGUCUACUACGUAUAUACUGACGCUAAGGGACGAAAGCGUGGGGAGCGAACAGGAUUAGAAACCCUAGUAGUCC